GCCGACAUGGCCGAAUGGUUAAGGCCCGCGAUUGCAAACCGCGUUGUGUAAGUUCGAUUCUUACUGUCGGCUCCA
rnacentral:tRNA from 1 species